rnacentral:tRNA from 1 species
GUGAUUAUAGAUUAAUGGUAAAUCUUUUAUCUUCCAAGUAAACAUUGUGGGUUCAAGUCCCACUAAUCACA